rnacentral:misc_RNA from 1 species
GACAACAACUAGUUGCACAUUUCUUUCCAAGAAAAAGAAAGCUCUCUCUGUGCAGAGAGAAAGAGAAGAGGAGAAAGAAUGGAAAUGGAGGGCAGGAGUCACAGUAACAAGGGAGAGAGCAAGAGUAGUGUGGUUGUCAGUGAUCAAGAAACUACAAUCGAUUGGAGAGGGAGACCCUCCAAUCCUAGCAAGCACGGUGGAAUGAGAGCUGCAACAUUUGUUCUUGGGCUUCAAGCAUUUGAGAUAAUGGCAAUAGCAGCAGUAGGGAAUAAUCUGAUAACAUAUGUGAUGAAUGAGAUGCACUU